CACUUCGAUAUAACAAAUAUAUUAAAAUUAGAAUCAUCUAUAAUGUUCUUACCUAACUUUACACUAAAAUAUCUAAUUGCAUUGCACCUGGAACAAGGUCAAAAUGGUCAAUUAUGGCCAAAAUAGAAGGGCAAUUUUGUAAACCUGAAGCCUAUAUAAGAAAGCUCGACUCGACCAUUGUGUUAAUCAACUCAACUCAACUGACGAUCCCCAAAAUCAAGUCUUAAUUUUUUCAAGUCUCAGUCUCACAAACAAGCUCUAGAUCAAGAAGAAGAGAUGGAAAGCUACACAAGGAGUUCGAGCAUGAUCAACGGUGGAAACUUGUCUCCAAGAUAUCCUAGCCGUCCGAUCCCAAAGAGAGGCCAAGUGAAGGUGGGGAUAGUGGUCGGAUUAGCUCAGUCUGUUGCUUCCGUUUUCACUCCCAGCCGUCGAUGAGGUGGUGCAUAUGAUCAAGAUCAUGAUCAUGAUCAACGGUGGAAACUUGUCUCCAAGAUAUCCUAGCCGUCCGAUCCCAAAGAGAGGCCAAGUGAAGGUGGGGAUAGUCGUCGGAUUAGCUCACUCUGUUGCUUCCGUUUUCACUCUCAGCCGUCGAUGAGGUGGUGCAUAUGAUCAAGAUCAUGAUCAUGAUCAUGAUUGUGAUGAUUCUGUUAAUACUAAUUAACCUUCUUAACCAUGUCAAUCAAAAUUCUCAAUUUUGAUUUUAUUUUCAAUGUAUGAGAAUCCUGGCUGUUGCCAUAUGUACAGUAGUGGUCUUUGCAGUAUUAAUGAGAUUUUCUUUUCCUAAUCUUUAAUAAUCAUAA